rnacentral:rRNA from 1 species
GACGAACGCUGGCGGCGUGCUUAACACAUGCAAGUCGAACGGAAAGGCCAGUGCUUGCACUGGUACUCGAGUGGCGAACGGGUGAGUAACACGUGGGUGAUCUGCCUUGCACUCUGGGAUAAGCUUGGGAAACUGGGUCUAAUACCGGAUAUGAACUGCCUUUAGUGUGGUGGUUGGAAAGUUUUUUCGGUGCAAGAUGAGCUCGCGGCCUAUCAGCUUGUUGGUGGGGUAAUGGCCUACCAAGGCGUCGACGGGUAGCCGGCCUGAGAGGGUGUACGGCCACAUUGGGACUGAGAUACGGCCCAGACUCCAACGGGAGGCAGCGGUGGGGAAGGGUGUACAAUGGGCGGAAGCAUGAUGCAGCGACGCCGCGUGGGGGAUAACGGCCUUCGGGUUGUAAACUCCUUUCGUCAGGGACGAAGCGUAAGUGACGGUACCUGGAGAAGAAGCACCGGCUAACUACGUG